AAGUUUCGAGGGAAAAACAAAGGAUUUUUGUAAGAAAUUUCUGUUUUACUUUUCGAAAUGAAUCUACCAUGAAAGGGAGUCGGUGUGGAAAUUCGGGGUUAUAGCUGUUGUUUCCGGGAAGACUCCAUGAAGAAUGGCUGAUAAAUAGGGGGCAUAGACUGUGGUCUUUACAGAAUUUAUUUGGGGAUAUCAACUGUGGUACUAGGCAGAUGGCUCAAUUUCAGGUUGCAGUUACUCAUCGACAAAGUAAUGGUACGGAAGAUGCUUUGGCGAAAACAGAUAAGAAGAUUAUGUCUCAUAGGCAAAUUGUUAAAGAUGACCAGCAACGCAACAACAAGGAUGUUUUGGUGCUUAAUCAUGCAGCUGCUUUUUUUUUUCAAACUAGUUUAGUUUAUUUGUAAUCAGUCUUGUUGGUGUAAAAAGACUAGUUAGUUUAUUUGUUUAUGUUUAGGUGAUGAUUUAGCUUAUAAGUCAACUUGUUUAUGUGUGCAAGUUAUGUUUUGUGAGUUUCAAUGUCAUUGGUGGGAG